UCGGCGUGGGGACACGGAGCUGGUGGGAUUGCGCCAUGGCCUGGGCUCCUCUCCUCCUCGCGGUGCUCGCCCACGUCUCAGGUUCCCUGGUCCAGGCAGCAGUGACUCAGCCGUCCUCGAUGUCAGCGAACCCAGGAGAAACCGUCCGGAUCACCUGCUCCGGGGGUAGCGGCAGCUAUGGCUGGUUCCAGCAGAAGGUUCCUGGCAGUGCCCCCGUCACUGUGAUCUACUACAAUGACAAGAGACCCUCGGACAUCCCUUCGCGAUUCUCCGGCUCCAAGUCCGGCUCCACGGGCACGUUAACCAUCACUGGGGUCCAAGCCGAGGACGAGGCUGUCUAUUACUGUGGUAACUAUGGCAGCAAUGCUGGUGCCACAUUUUUGCACAGCCCUGUAUCACUGUGUGUUUUUGGGCCUGGGACCCUGUUGACCGUCCUAGGCCAGCCCAAGGUCUCUCCCACCGUCCACCUCUUCCCGCCAUCCUCCGAGGAGCUCUCGUCACAGAACAAAGCCACCCUGGUGUGUCUGCUGGGAGACUUCUACCCUCGCGCCGUGCAGGUGGCCUGGACAGCCGAUGGCCGCACCCUCACCAGUGGCAUUGAGACCAGCCAGCCCCAGCGGCAGAGCAACAACCAGUACAUGGCCAGCAGCUACCUGACGCUGAGUGCCAACGAGUGGAAGAGCCACGAGACCUACGUCUGCAAGGUCACGCACGAAGCUGGCAACGUGGAGAAGAGCCUGAAGAGAUCCGACUGCUCCUAACCCCACUGGGACCUCCCCGCGCCCAGUGGCCCCUCACUGGCCCCCUCCCUCUUCCCCGCUGCUGGGGGCAGCGGCUCCCCCCCCCCUCCACCGCAGAUGUGUCUCCCCACAUCCCCCUGUCCCCUGCUCCUGUGCCCCCGCCCUAAGUGUCACACGAAUAAACACCGACACUGAACUA